rnacentral:lncRNA from 12 species
AUGGUGAGAGAUGAAAGCUCGAGGCUGACCGGGGCCGCGCGCUGUAACAGAGCUGGGGAGGUCUCAAGGAGGCGGCGGGGAGGUGAAAAGUUGAACCUACCCGGUGCCCCCCCUCCGCCCUCCCCCCUCCCGGGGGGGCCACGGGUCUCACGGUCGGUGGAGGCGGGGAGGGGGCGGGGAGAGCGGGCUGGGCCGCCCGGGACGCCGCGGGGAGGUCCGCAGCCACACGGCCGCGCUCGCGUCCUGCCCCCUCGCGGGCGCGGAGUCCCCGCUCGUCGCCCGCCGCCCGCCGCCCUGCACCGGCCCCCACCCCCACCCCCUGCACACACUCCCGGGCACCCGCCCCCCGGGGGGGUGGGGGUCCCGGGGAGCUGCUUCGCCAGGGCGGGCGCGCCGACCCCCGGAGCAUCCUUCCCCGCGGCCGGAGGGCCCCCGGGAGCCCCGCGUGCGGCCGCCCCACCGCGCCCCGGGACGGGCGGCGGGGGAGGGGGUCCGCGGGCAGCCGAGCGCGUCCCACCUGCAGUCGGGGGCGCCGGGGCUGCGCAGGAGGAGGAGACGGCCGCCGCUCCAGAGCACCGAGUCGUCACAACCGGCGGCUGCGGCUCACCGGAAACCUCGGGCGCCCGAGCCGGGCCAGGGGGCGCCAGGGAGCCGCCGGCGCUCCGAGGCCGUCUGCGCGGGGAGGCGGGUCCGAACCCGCGGCAGCUGCGCUGGGCGCGCACGGCCCGGCGAGGAGGGCGCGGAGGGCGCGGGUCCGCGCUGCACCGGGCCCUGGGGGCGGGCGGGGGCGCUCAGAGGGCCCGAGGACCCCUGACUCUGGCCCAUCCUCAUUCGGGCUGCGUGGCGCUGGCGCGGUGGUCACGGUUCGGCCCUCCCUGCCCUUCCAGGGUGGGGCGCGAACUCGGAUGGCGGCGUCUUCGGGGGUGGCCCCUCGCUCGCCGUGCAGCGGUGCGCUCGGCCCUCCCCGCGCUCCCCGGGAAACUCGCCAAGCGCGAAUGCUGCUCUGCGGAGCUGUAG